CCUACGGGUGGCAGCAGUGAGGAAUAUUGGUCAAUGGACGAGAGUCUGAACCAGCCAAGUAGCGUGAAGGAUGACUGCCCUAUGGGUUGUAAACUUCUUUUAUAUGGGAAUAAAAUGUUCCACGUGUGGGAUUUUGUAUGUACCAUAUGAAUAAGGAUCGGCUAACUCCGUGCCAGCAGCCGCGGUAAUACGGAGGAUCCGAGGGUUAUCCGGAUUUAUUGGGUUUAAAGGGAGCGUCGGUGGAUUGUUAAGUCCGUUGUGAAAGUUUGCGGCACAACCGUAAAAUUGCAGUUGAAACUGGCAGUCUUGAGUACAGUAGAGGUGGGCGGAAUUCGUGGUGUAGCGGUGAAAUGCUUAGAUAUCACGAAGAACUCCGAUUGCGAAGGCAGUUCACUGGACUGCAACUGACACUGAGGCUCGAAAGUGUGGGUAUCAAACAGGAUUAGAUACCCUUGUAGUC
rnacentral:rRNA from 1 species